AUUUCAAAAAUUGAAGUUAUUUUUGUCAGUGAGGAAACUACAAUAAAAAUUAAGGACAAGAAGACCCUAAGAAUUUUUAAUAAUUUAAAAAAAGUUUUUUUUAAAUUAUUUUAAUUGGGGCGAUUAACAAAAAUAAGAAACUUUAUUUUUCCAAAAAAAUGAACCAUUAAUAAUGGUCAUAUGGAAAAAAUACUCUAGGGAUAACAGCGUAAUAAUUUUAGAUAGUUCUUAUAGACAAAAUAGUUUGCGACCUCGAUGUUGGAUUAGGAUUCUUAUUUAAUGAAGAAGUUAAAAAAAGAAGUUUGUUCAACUUUUAAAAUCCUACUUGAUCUGAGUUCAGACCGG
rnacentral:rRNA from 1 species